UACGGAGGGUGCAAGCGUUACUCGGAAUCACUGGGCGUAAAGAGCACGUAGGCGGCCUUGCAAGUCAGAUGUGAAAUCCAACGGCUUAACCGUUGAACUGCAUUUGAAACUGCAAGGCUAGAGUAUGGGAGAGGUAGGUGGAAUUCUCGGUGUAGGGGUAAAAUCCGUAGAGAUCGAGAGGAAUACUCAUUGCGAAGGCGACCUGCUGGAACAUUACUGACGCUGAGGUG
rnacentral:rRNA from 1 species